rnacentral:lncRNA from 1 species
AAGGGAGAAUUAAAGUAAUAUUUUUUCAAGUUUCCAAGACAAGAUCAUUUAUAAUUGUGUAUUUCAUACGCAAUCAGGAUUGUUUUUGCUUUAGUUUUUGUUAGUUUUGAGUAAUUUUUAUUAGUUUUUCAUUUAAUUUUAGUUUAUUUAGUCACUUUAAUUUAUUUUAUGAAUUUUAGGUGAUCUUGGGAGAAUUUGAAAAGUUUUGGAUGAAGGUACAAAAGGGUAGAAACCUGCACUGGCAGAUGCAUACUCAUAAAGUUAGUGAUGCACAUCAGUCUUGGAGCCUCUCCACAUAGAAUUUUGAAGGUAGAAAUUCGCAUGAGCAGGUGCAUGGUCAUGCAGGAAAAGCAAAAUUUUUACUUUUCCUAAAUUGCAUAGGAUGC